AGGGGGGUUUGGAUCAUGGCUUCAGAAUGAACGCUGGCGGCGUGGAUUAGGCAUGCAAGUCGAACGCGAAAGCUUCCCUUCGGGGGAGCGAGUAGAGUGGCGAACGGGUGAGUAACAGGUGGGUAAUGUGCCCCGAAGCGGGGGAUAACCCGAGGAAACUCGGACUAAUACCGCAUGUGACCUCUUCGACCCUGGUCUUUGAGGUUAAAGGAGUGAUUCGCUUCGGGAGUGGCCCGCCCAUGAUUAGCUUGUUGGUAGGGUAAUGGCCUACCAAGGCAACGAUCAUUAGCUGGUCUGAGAGGAUGGUCAGCCACAUUGGGACUGAGACACUGCCCAAACUCCUACGGGGGGCUGCAGUCUAGAAGCUUCGUCAAUGGGCGAAAGCCUGAACGAGCGACGCCGCGUGUGGGAUUGAAGGCUUUACGGUCGUAAACCACUGUCGGGAGGGAAGAAAACCCGUAUGGUGAAUACGGGCUUGACGGUACCUUCAAAGGAAGCCCCGGCUAACUCCGUGCCAGCAGCCGCGGUAAUACGGAGGGGGCAAGCGUUAUUCGGAUUUACUGGGCGUAAAGGGUGCGUAGGCGGCUUUGUAAGUCUGGUGUGAAAUCUUCACCGCUCAACGGGAAGUGGUCACUGGAAACUGCAGAGCUUGAGUGUGGCAGAGGCAAGCGGAAUUCCUGGGUGUAGCGGUGGAAUGUGUAGAUAUCAGGAAGAACACCCGUGGCGAAGGCGGCUUGCUGGGCCAUCACUGACGCUGAAGGCACGAAAGCGUGGGGAGCAAACAGGAUUAGAUACCCUGGUAGCCACG
rnacentral:rRNA from 1 species